CACGUAGGGUGCGAGCGUUGUCCGGAAUUACUGGGCGUAAAGAGUUCGUAGGCGGUUUGUCGCGUCGUUCGUGAAAACUUGGGGCUUAACUCCAAGCGUGCGGGCGAUACGGGCAGACUAGAGUGCGGUAGGGGAGAUUGGAAUUCCUGGUGUAGCGGUGGAAUGCGCAGAUAUCGGAAGGAACGCCGGUGGCGAAAGCGACGUGCUGGACCUCUUCUGACGCUGAGGCGCGAAAGCUAGGGGAGCAAACGGG
rnacentral:rRNA from 1 species